GAACUUAAGCAUAUCAAUAAGCGGAGGAAAAGAAACCAACAGGGAUUACCUCAGUAACGGCGAGUGAAGCGGUAACAGCUCAAAUUUGAAAUCUGGCUCUUUCAGGGUCCGAGUUGUAAUUUGUAGAAGAUGCUUUGGGCAUUGCUCCGGUCUAAGUUCCUUGGAACAGGACGUCAUAGAGGGUGAGAAUCCCGUAUGUGACUGGUGGCAUUUGUCCGUGUAAAGCUCUUUCGACGAGUCGAGUUGUUUGGGAAUGCAGCUCAAAAUGGGUGGUAUAUUUCAUCUAAAGCUAAAUAUUGGCCAGAGACCGAUAGCGCACAAGUAGAGUGAUCGAAAGAUGAAAAGCACUUUGGAAAGAGAGUUAAACAGUACGUGAAAUUGUUGAAAGGGAAGCGCUUGCAACCAGACUUGCAGGUCGUUGAUCAUCCGGGGUUCUCCCCGGUGCACUCGGCGGCUUCCAGGCCAGCAUCGGUUUGAGUGGUGGGAUAAAGGCCUUGGGAAUGUGGCUCCUCUCGGGGAGUGUUAUAGCCCAAGGUGCAAUGCCGCCUAUUCGGACCGAGGACCGCGCUUCGGCUAGGAUGCUGGCGUAAUGGUUGUAAGCGACCCGUCUUGAAACACGGACCAAGGAGUCUAACAUCUAUGCGAGUGUUUGGGUGUCAAACCCAUACGCGUAAUUAACGUGAACGGAGGUAAGAACCCUUAAGGGUGCAUUAUCGACCGAUCCUGAUGUCUUCGGAUGGAUUUGAGUAAGAGCAUAGCUGUUGGGACCCGAAG
rnacentral:rRNA from 1 species